UCCCUCUAAAUUUUUUUAUCCAUACAAUUAGUCCCUAACGUCAAAUGCCACUAACAGAUGUUUACGUGGCAAGACAAGUGGAUUAAUUUUUAUUUUUUUUCAUGAAUGACAUCGUGGAAAAUGCCAUAAGUUAAAGCUUAUGCAUUUUUAUUUUUACCUAAAUCCUUAUUCAUCUGCUUUGUUCCUCUUUGUCUGCUUCGUUCCCCUAAACUUUGUUUUUUUUCAUCUUCUUCGUCUAGCUUCUUCGUUCAUCUUCCUCAAAGCUUCGUUCACUUUCACCCAAGCCUCCUUAUUUUUCAUCUUUCCUUC
rnacentral:lncRNA from 1 species